UACAGAGGUGGCGAGCGUUAUUCGCAACUAUUGGGCGUAAAGGGCGCGUAGGCGGCCACGCAAGUCCUGGGUGAAAUCCCUCGGCUCAACCGAGGAACUGCCUCGGAAACUGCAUGGCUCGAGGCCGGGAGAGGGUAGCGGAAUUCCCAGUGUAGCGGUGAAAUGCGUAGAUAUUGGGAGGAACACCGGUGGCGAAGGCGGCUACCUGGACCGGUUCUGACGCUGAUGCGCAAAAGCGUGGGGAGCAAACAGG
rnacentral:rRNA from 1 species